rnacentral:rRNA from 1 species
UGGGGAAUAUUGCACAAUGGGCGCAAGCCUGAUGCAGCCAUGCCGCGUGUAUGAAGAAGGCCUUCGGGUUGUAAAGUACGUUCAGCGGGGAGGAAGGGAGUAAAGUUAAUACCUUUGCUUAUUGACGUUACCCGCAGAAGAAGCACCGGCUAACUCCGUGCCAGCAGCCGCGGUAAUACGGAGGGUGCAAGCGUUAAUCGGAAUUACUGGGCGUAAAGCGCACGCAGGCGGUUUGUUAAGUCAGAUGGGAAAUCCCCGGGCUCAACCUGGGAACUGCAUCUGAUACUGGCAAGCUUGAGUCUCGUAGAGGGGGGUAGAAUUCCAGGUGUAGCGGUGAAAUGCGUAGAGAUCUGGAGGAAUACCGGUGGCGAAGGCGGCCCCCUGGACGAAGACUGACGCUCAGGUGCGAAAGCGUGGGGAGCAAACAGG